GCCGCGUUAGCUCAGCUGGUAGAGCACGUCCUUGGUAAGGACGAGGUCCCGGGUUCAAAUCCCGGACGUGGCU
rnacentral:tRNA from 1 species